CGUAGGUGGCAAGCGUUGUCCGGAAUUAUUGGCGUAAGCGCGCGCAGGCGGUUCCUUAAGUCUGAUGUGAAAGCCCCCGGCUCAACCGGGGAAGGUCAUUGGAAACUGGGGAACUUGAGUGCAGAAGAGAAGAGCGGAAUUCCACGUGUAGCGGUGAAAUGCGUAGAGAUGUGGAGGAACACCAGUGGCGAAGGCGGCUCUUUGGUCUGUAACUGACGCUGAGGCGCGAAAGCGUGGGGAGCAAACAGGAUUAGAUACCCUGGUAGUCCACGCCGUAAACGAUGAGUGCUAAGUGUUAGAGGGUUUCCGCCCUUUAGUGCUGCAGCUAACGCAUUAAGCACUCCGCCUGGGGAGUACGGCCGCAAGGCUG
rnacentral:rRNA from 1 species